GAGCUUGCCGAGAUGAUUUUAGUGCUUGCACUAAAUGAAACUAGAUACAAGCGAGCGGCGGACGGGUGAGUAACACGUGGGUAACCUGCCCAAGAGACUGGGAUAACACCUGGAAACAGAUGCUAAUACCGGAUAACAACACUAGACGCAUGUCUAGAGUUUGAAAGAUGGUUCUGCUAUCACUCUUGGAUGGACCUGCGGUGCAUUAGCUAGUUGGUAAGGUAACGGCUUACCAAGGCAAUGAUGCAUAGCCGAGUUGAGAGACUGAUCGGCCACAUUGGGACUGAGACACGGCCCAAACUCCUACGGGAGGCAGCAGUAGGGAAUCUUCCACAAUGGACGAAAGUCUGAUGGAGCAACGCCGCGUGAGUGAAGAAGGGUUUCGGCUCGUAAAGCUCUGUUGGUAGUGAAGAAAGAUAGAGGUAGUAACUGGCCUUUAUUUGACGGUAAUUACUUAGAAAGUCACGGCUAACUACGUGCCAGCAGCCGCGGUAAUACGUAGGUGGCAAGCGUUGUCCGGAUUUAUUGGGCGUAAAGCGAGUGCAGGCGGUUCAAUAAGUCUGAUGUGAAAGCCUUCGGCUCAACCGGAGAAUUGCAUCAGAAACUGUUGAACUUGAGUGCAGAAGAGGAGAGUGGAACUCCAUGUGUAGCGGUGGAAUGCGUAGAUAUAUGGAAGAACACCAGUGGCGAAGGCGGCUCUCUGGUCUGCAACUGACGCUGAGGCUCGAAAGCAUGGGUAGCGAACAGGAUUAGAUACCCUGGUAGUCCAUGCCGUAAACGAUGAGUGCUAAGUGUUGGGAGGUUUCCGCCUCUCAGUGCUGCAGCUAACGCAUUAAGCACUCCGCCUGGGGAGUACGACCGCAAGGUUGAAACU
rnacentral:rRNA from 1 species